AACAAUAUAUUGAAAAAUAAGAAAUAUUGGUUGUAAAUCGGUUUUGUUUCAUAUGAAGUUUUAUUAAAGAGAUGAACAAUUAAUAACUUACAAAAGAGGAUCAUAUAAGAGCUGGUUAUUCUUCUUUCUAGUUAAGAAGACAUAAUGAUCAUCAUAUGUUUGCAUUAACAGAUGGAAGAAGAGUGACAUUAGUGGGUGUCCAAGAACUAGGUGGUGGAACUUGGAAAUGGAGAAAACAAACUUAUUUAGAAAAAAAAUUGAUGAAAGAAAGAAAAUGGAAUUCUAAAACUGAAAUUAAUUUUGUAUAAAAUGAAAUGGCUUAGUGUAUUAAGAAAGCGGCAAAAGAAGUUUUAAGAGAGCCAAGAGGGAAAAGACUUUUAAAGGAAACCUUGUGGUGGAAUGAUCAGGUUCAAAAGGCUAUUAGAGAAAAAUGAUUAUAUUACAAUGCCAAUGAAAGAUAAAAUUCAAAAUGAAUACAUUCGAGGGAAUACAAAGAUAGCUCCAAUAGGCCAAAAAAUGAGGGAAAAUAGACUUAUAUAGUCAGAUCAUGUGCAAUAUCGAUCUAGAAUAAUAUCGGUUAUGAAAGGUGAUUUGGUUCCAGUAGAAGGCUCUAAAAGGGUAGAGGGAAGUCCAAGGAUAUGGAUGGAAGU
rnacentral:lncRNA from 1 species